rnacentral:rRNA from 1 species
GUCUACAGCCACUGAACAAGCCGGAUGCCGUCUGAUUUCAGAAGCUAAGCAGGGUUGGGCCUGGUUAAUAGUUGCAUGAGAGACCAUCUAGGAAGACCAGGUUCUGUAGGCG